UAUUACUCCCAUCCAUACUGCAUGAAAAUCAGGAGAAAACAUUAAUGAUUGUUACAGAAUCUUUCUUCUGUUCCCCAGGAGUGAAAUGUAAACAGAGAGGAGGGUCUACACAGAUCUGACACAAUCUAAUCAAAUCAGACUGGAGUAGAAACAAUUCAGUCUUCCAGUGAACACACUGCACUGCACAAUGGAUGUCUUUUCAGUUUUUCUCUUCUAUAGUCUGGCAUCUGCUGUCUCUGGAAACAUCACACCAGAUGAAACAGAGCUUUCUGCUGAGGAGGGUUCAAAUGUUACAUUAUCCUGUAGUUAUUCCUCUGCAGAUGAUCUAUUCUGGUACCGUCAGUAUCCCGGAUCAGCUCCUGAAUUUCUUGAGUUCAUCUUUGAUGGUGCAACAAACACCAAAAAGUCUGAUGUAGAUCCAAGAUUCUCAGUUAAACUCACUAACCGGGAACAAAAGCAUGUGGAUCUGAUCAUCUCUUCUGCUGCUGUAUCAGACUCUGCUCUGUAUUACUGUGCUCUGAGGCCCACAGUGACAGGAAACACAUCAGCUCUCUACAAAAACCCUUUACCCAGGGAGAGUUUGGUGUCCGGGGACAGUAUUGAUCCAGAUAAAGAGAAAAAUGUUAUCACAAAAGAAACAGAAACUGUUAAGCUGAGCUGCUCGUACAAUUCAGCUCUCUAUUAUUGUGCUCUAAGAGUAGGAGCCCAGUGA